GUGCGCGCUCACCGGGUCUGGGUCGGACAGGAGUGACAGGCGUGACAGAGGCUCCCGGGGUGGGGUGGGGUGGCUCCUCGCCCAGGCUGACCAGAACGUCCUGAAACUGACUGCUGAGAGGCUGAGCGUUCAGAAACCCCGGACCGUGUCCGGACGGCGCAGAGGCAAGCUGCAGAGCAGGUGAACCCCGGCCGGCAAAGCUGUGACGUGCUGAGCCCGGGAUCGGCCUCCCUGGUUAGGAGCUACCACACACGAAGAGCAUCUUAGACAGCAGCGCACGGACAGCAGCGAGGAGACGCAGCAACAGCACGGUCAAGGCCACACGGCGUCAAGCGCGGCGGCUUACUUUCUCUCCGGCCGUGGGCAGCGCCAGCACCGCGCUCCAGCCCACAGGAGGCCCGGGCACUGGUGGCCGCAGCUGCGGAAUUCUGAGCUCCGCACUGUGAUCGCCCCGAAGGCAGCCGCCACCCAGCACAGGAAAAAGAACAGAAGACCCCAGGGAAAGGUCUCCAUUUGUCUCUGGACUUGGCAGAGGAUACGGCACUCGUAUAGAUGGCUUUCUCCAGGGCCCGCACCCCCGGGAAGAAUACAACUACUGGGUGAUGGCCCUGCCCUCUCUGGGCCCCUCUGGACCCCUCUGCCUGCGGACUGACGCACUCUCUGCCUGUCAUGAGUCACGUGACCUCGACCAGAUGAGGGUGCAGAAGCCACCGCCCUCACGAGGGGAAGGGUGCUCUUCUCCUUCUCUUCUCCUUCCCCCCACCUUCUCCCCAUCUCAUGGAUGCAAACCCCUGCCGACCCCGGAACACAGCAACACUGUCAGAGUGAGACCCAGGGACCAAGACCUCACAUCUGCUGGGAACAUGGGCCCAAGCAGGGGCGGGGACACCCUGUGCCCGGGCCGGGCGCUCACCUUGCCCCGUGACUUCUGUCUA
rnacentral:lncRNA from 1 species